rnacentral:lncRNA from 1 species
UUUCAUCUCCUUGUCUCACCAUUUCCUCUCCAUUUUCCUUAGUUAUCACUUCCUCUCUUCUCAUUCUCUCACACAUCUCUUCCAUCACAUAUACACACCAUCCACUGCCCUAAAUCAGAAACCACGCCUCCAUACUCUCCCCUCAUCAUAGCUCAUGAGAUCCCUACUCCAAGGAGAAGCCGUAGCCUCCAUCUUCCAUCAAAUCAUCUUCCAUCAUCUUGUCGUACUCCUGCUUUGAAGACGCCUCAAGCUUUCUUGAAGAAUAAUCAAACUUAAUGUGGUAAUUUUGUGCGCUUAAUUCAGGCGU